rnacentral:misc_RNA from 1 species
GAAGAUACAGCAAAUCACAUUACUUCGAUGGGUAAUUGCAAAAACAAUGAUUCGUUAGCAUGUUACUCAUCCGUACCACAAACCAUCUAAUCUAAUGACAUCACUUGGCAUUUUGAGUAGCCUGCAAGCAGACUGAAAGGAGUAACUUAAAGUACAAACAUGCAGAACAUACUUCAUUUAAGAGCCUCAUUUAUAUAUUCACACUUCUUGAAAGUUGAAAAAAAAAUCCAAAAAAUUUUUCACAAAUGAGAAACUAAUUCAGUAAUGGCAGUUUUAAGGGCCAAAAAAGUAGCCCUAAUGAUAUUGGGUGGUUUGCAGAAGUACCCACUCACAUAUUUGAGAUUUAUACUUGAAAUUGC